rnacentral:tRNA from 1 species
UGUCAAAGGAUGGGAAUCGAACCCACGACCUUCCGCUUACCGGGCAGAUGCCAUGACCACUAGGCCACAUGAC